GUUGGUUUUACCCGAAGACGGUGCGCUAACCGCAAGGAGGCAGCUGACCACGGUGGGAUCAGCGACUGGGGUGAAGUCGUAACAAGGUAGCCGUAGGUGAACCUGCAGAAGGAUCA
rnacentral:rRNA from 1 species